rnacentral:piRNA from 1 species
UUCAAAUCCUGAGGAUUCUGAGA